CGCUUUGUGCAGUGUCAGUAUUGUAGCCAAUGAGGUGUGUCCGAGGUGCAAUUAUUGCUAAUUGGAAGGUACCCCUGCAGGGUUUGGGGAGCAUCAACUUUGAGGAAUCAGUGUGAUACCUUGGAGUCUCCAGAGAAGUUCUAAAACA
rnacentral:snRNA from 1 species